UCUGUUCAUUCCGAGUCAAAACCCCCGCAAUUGAACAGACACGGUAUUCAUUGGUGAAAACCAUUUGAAUCAAAACAAUUUUUUCUAUAUCAAAUUAGGCAUUUUAAAUGAGCGGUAGCUAAAAGCAUUGAAACUUCGUCGAAAAUGAACGAACAUGAUAUCAUCGUCUUGCUCUUCAAUCAGACUUGCUGGAUCGGGCUGGUUCUUUAGACGGUGACGCGAUAGCGCUGCAGCCAGAGCGGAAAGUUUCAUUUCCAGUCGGACAUUCCAAACAGACGGAAGGUUUCUUUAGUGCAUCAAGAAGAAUCAAAACGAAACAUGUUUGAAUCGAAAGUGUAAAUUGCAAUUAGUUAUCUUUUUCUGUGGCUACACCAACAACACCAAUAUAAGAAAAGAACAUCCUCGUCAUGUGCGUCAUCGAGUAUAUUGGCUGCUUCGUCUUCAAUUUUCCCUUCAGCUUUACGUUUUGCCUUCUCCAGCUCAGCCUUGGCACGUGAUAUGCGCUUCUUAUCUUGGAUUUUCUUCAACCUUUUAAAAAGAGCAACGCCCUUAAAUGGCUGGCGAGUAUUUUGAAUAAUUGUAAUAAAUACCGGUAGAAUUCUUCACGUUCUAGCUCGUCAAGUUCUGAAAUGAUGUAGGCCAGUGUCCGUUCAAUACGAGAUGAAAAUCCGUUUUACCGUGCUCGAUGGCGUUUACUCUUCUAUUGGUCACCUUGAUCACCUUGUCGAGCGUGAUGAAUGACGUCUGCAGAGAGGCAAGCUCCACUAAUAGUGUAACAGCUUUCUGGUAGUUUUUCUUCAGCUUACCCAGCUGUUGACCUCCUCUAGCCAAACCUGCUAGCUCAUACGUAUCACUACCAUCCUGGUAGCUCUCAAACACUGGCAAAUUCACACCUGGACACAACAUAACAACCUGACUUUGAUCUGAGCCUUUGUGACGUUUUGCAGUACUACCUGAUUGAAGUCACCAGUUGCAAAUUUGGCUUCAGCAAGUGAAAAAGCAGCUUCCUUCAUCACAUCUCCCAUUAGUACUUUUGUCUGAAAUGUUGAGAUUGAGCGGAACCUCAUUUGAAGAGCAUCUGCCUUCUUUUUAAGAAGACCAUGGCCUUUCUGUGCACCGGCAAGCCGAUGUUUCAUCAAAGUCUGUGCUC